GCCUAAAGGGGCCGUAGCCGGUUUGGUGGGUCCCUGGUGAAAUCCUGCGGCCUAACCGUAGGGCUUGCUAGGGAAACUACCAGACUUGAGGACGGGAGAGGUCAGGGGUACUUCUGGGGGAGGGGUGAAAUCCUAUAAGCCUAGAAGGACCACCAGUGGCGAAGGCGCCUGACAUGAACGUGCCUGACGGUGAGGGACGAGAGCUAGGGUCGCGAAACGGAUUAGAUACCCGUGUAGUCCUAGCCGUAAACGAUGCUGACUAGGUGGGGCGCAUCCUUAGCGGUUGCGCCAUGCCGAAGAGAAAUCGUUAAGUCAGCCGCCUGGGAAGUACGGCCGCAAGGCUGAAACUUAAAGGAAUUGGCGGGGGAGCACUACAAGGGGUGGAAGCUGCGGUUUAAUUAGAUUCAACGCUGGACAACUCACCGGAGGCGACAGCAGAAUGAAGGCCAGAUUGAAGAUCUUGCCGAACACGCUGAGAGGAGGUGCAUGGCCGUCGUCAGCUCGUGCUGUAAAGUGUUCGGUUAAGUCCGAAAACGAGCGAGACCCACAUCCUUAGUUGCAACCUGCUGCUCCGGCAGUAGGGCACACUAAGGAGACUGCCCGCUAUAAGUGGGAGGAGGGAGUGGACAACGAUAGGUCCGUAUGCCCCUAA
rnacentral:rRNA from 1 species